CAUACAAGUGACUGAAGUACCCAGCUGGAGAUAACUUACCCCAAGCAGCUACUGUGGCACCAAGGAACUUUUCUCCAAUACAACAGUUACCAUAAAAGAAGAAAGUUCACCUGCUCAUCAUUUGUCAUUGCACUCCAUGGAAGUUCAUCAAGAUUCCUAUGCUUGUUUUUCUUCUUUGGAAGCAGACACGGAGAGCUUGGAAUACUAGGUGAGACAAAGCGAGCUCUGUACUCUUCUCAGCACC